rnacentral:rRNA from 1 species
AAUCCAUAGGUUAAUGAGGCGAACCGGGGGAACUGAAACAUCUAAGUACCCCGAGGAAAAGAAAUCAACCGAGAUUCCCCCAGUAGCGGCGAGCGAACGGGGAGGAGCCCAGAGCCUGAAUCAGCAUGUGUGUUAGUGGAAGCGUCUGGAAAGGCGCGCGAUACAGGGUGACAGCCCCGUACACAAAAGCGCAUGUGCUGUGAGCUCGAUGAGUAGGGCGGGACACGUGGUAUCCUGUCUGAAUAUGGGGGGACCAUCCUCCAAGGCUAAAUACUCCUGACUGACCGAUAGUGAACCAGUACCGUGAGGGAAAGGCGAAAAGAACCCCGGCGAGGGGAGUGAAAAAGAACCUGAAACCGUGUACGUACAAGCAGUGGGAGCACCCUUUGGGUGUGACUGCGUACCUUUUGUAUAAUGGGUCAGCGACUUAUAUUCUGUAGCAAGGUUAACCGAAUAGGGGAGCCGGAGGGAAACCGAGUCUUAACCGGGCGUUAAGUUGCAGGGUAUAGACCCGAAACCCGGUGAUCUAGCCAUGGGCAGGUUGAAGGUUGGGUAACACUAACUGGAGGACCGAACCGACUAAUGUUGAAAAAUUAGCGGAUGACCUGUGGCUGGGGGUGAAAGGCCAAUCAAACCGGGAGAUAGCUGGUUCUCCCCGAAAGCUAUUUAGGUAGCGCCUCGUGAAUUCAUCUCCGGGGGUAGAGCACUGUUUCGGCUAGGGGGCCAUCCCGGCUUACCAACCCGAUGCAAACUGCGAAUACCGGAGAAUGUUAUCACGGGAGA